AGAUCGCUUUAUGUAACGCCGCGAUGGAUGCGCAGCCCCCGCGCGCUCCCCCCGCCGCCCCGCACGCUCGACAGCGCCGAAAGCGCGGGGGUCCGCGGCUGAGGGGCAGCAACGAGUUCAAUGCGGGGGGAUGGAGGGUAGGCCCGGCGGAGGCCAGUGCCGCUGCCCCGGGGAAGCUGCGGCGGGCGCGGAGACGGGGCUGGAGGCGGCCGGGGACCGGCACAAGGAAAGGAAUGUUUAUUUCAUAGCUGCAACACCGAGGCUUGGAAGCUCAAAAUGACACAUGGGUCUGGUUUGGAAAAGGGCAUGAGAUGAGAUGCUUCUCUGAUUCUGUAGGUCCUUUUUCAUACUGUUUCUCUGAAUGAAAUACAAACUCAGCCGUACAUCAGUGUUUAACGUUGUUGUAUCUUUCAAAGCCUUUUCCAAUAAACAGAAGUAAGAGUGAUGGACUGAAAAAUAGACCAACAGUGAGUUCAAAGAGUCUAUUUUAAUACAAUUAUUUAGAAAGAUACUUGAAGUCCUUGUCAGAUGUAUGUCUCUUGCAGGUGGUUUUUUUUAGGGAAAUCUGAUUUUAGGGAACAGGUCAAGACCUAGGUGUUAUUAGUGCAGUAGUAAUCCCUCAUGAUGUUACAGUUCAACCAUAAUUUUGCACAGAAACAAGACGAAAUAGUGAACAAUCAAUGUUGGUUAUGUACAUGUACAUAAACAUUUGUCAUGAGCAGCAAUGCAAAAUAUUUUUAAAUAUGAUUCCAUAGGAACUAAAUGACAGAGACUUAAAUGUUUGUUUGAGAUACGGAGGAAGUUCUAGUUACUGUUUUUUGAUGGUUGUCAUAUCUCCCAAGAAAAAAGUGACAAAGAAAUCACAAUGGGUUUGUUCCUCAUUGCUUUGCAAUGUGGUGCUCAGACUUAGCCUCAGGCACCAGUGGGAGACACAGAGAAUGUUGAUUGUGGGGUGAGGACUUCUGUUCUGUUUUUUUGGGUUUUUUAAAAUAAUUAAAGCACACCAAAGAAAGAGUAAUGUUUUAUAAUCACAGAAAAAACCUUUAAGAUCAUCAAGUCUAACCACAAACCUAACAGUGCCAAAUCUGCCUCUAAAUUUUAACUUAUGCUGGACUUCCACUCAAAUGGAUCCUACACAGCAGUAUGGUCACCCAAAAAAAGAGAAAGAAGGUGGUCAACAUUCCGUGGAGUCAGUGAGAGAACAGCAAAGGCUUUUAUGGAAAGACUAAGUCAAACUCUUUCUUCCACUGAGGUGUUUUAAUGCCCCUGUAGAUAAAAAUCUCACCCGAAGUUGUUUAUAACAAGAGGACUGUGUUUAUUUCCUGAGAAGGGAAUGAGAUCAGAUCUACAUGGUACAGGGAAUGCCUCUGAAGACUUCAAAUCGUUAAGACUAUUUUUCUUGGAUGUUUUCGCUACAUCUUUUUAAAAAUAAUGCCUUGUACAUGAAAAGCAUCAAGUGACCUUGUUGGUUUAGAUUGUCAGUCCCUUUGCUGUGCUUAAGUAAGUGAAGGACCUUGCAAAUCAGAAAGGUGUGAAGAGAAGAAAAAAGCAAAGACAAUGUGCUGUGAUUUUCCUACUUGUAAGUAAGGUGGAAAAUGUCAAAACAAUACAAACUAGCGGUUCUUUUGAUUGCUAAUGGAACUAGCAUGGAUUCAUCUCCUAGGCGACCAUCCAUGUUCCUGUUAAUAGUAAAAGUAUCCUUGUCCAGCAAUAUUUGUACUUUUAAAAUCCUAUUUUUCUUAACUACAAAUUGAGAGCAACAGGUUUGUUUCUUACACAUCCCUUAAGCCUCCUGAUGCACAAAUUUGAUGUGGCACAAGCAGCAUUUUGCCUCACCUUUUCAGAAAUCAUCUUCAGAACUGUGCCAAGUGUUCGCUAGGGAGUUCUGCUCUACGCCUCACUUUUCCCUCUGUAAAACACGGAAAAAAUAAAUUAUGGUUUAAAGGGUUUAUGUGAACCUGGUAAUAAAAGAUCUACACUG